UAUCUCUGUAGAGUCUGCAUAUCAAUAAGCGGAGGAAAAGAAACUAACUAGGAUUCCCUCAGUAACGGCGAGUGAAGCGGGAAGAGCUCAAAUUUGAAAUCUUCAAGGUUCUACCUUGACGAAUUGUAGUUUAAAGAAGUGUUUUCUGUUGGAUGUUUUGGUAAAAGUUCUUUGGAAUAGGACAUCAUAGAGGGUGAGAAUCCCGUAUUUGACCAUUAUUUCCAGCUUUGUGAUACACUUUCAAAGAGUCGGAUUGUUUGGGAAUGCAGUCCAAAAUGGGUGGUAAAUUUCAUCUAAAGCUAAAUAUUGGCGAGAGACCGAUAGCGAACAAGUACCGUGAGGGAAAGAUGAAAAGAACUUUGAAAAGAGAGUUAAACAGUACGUGAAAUUGUCAAAAGGGAAGCGUUUGACACCAGUGUUGUUUUCUCGAAAAUCAAUUAAAAAAGGCAGGAUUUUGUGUUGUAUUGACUUUAUCAGCUUUCUGCACUCUUUCCUUGUCUUUUUUAAUGCACUUUUCGUUUAACAAGUCAACAUCAAUUUCUUUUGUUGUAAAAGGGUCAUUGGAAGGUGGCUUUCUUUUCGGAGAAAGUGUUUAUAGCCUUUGGCCUCUGCAAUCGGAGAGAUUGAGGUCUGCAGCGUAGAUCCUUCGGGGUUAGAUACAUUUGUGCUAAGUUAUAGCCUUUCAUAGACAACUUGUUGACUAUGAUCAGUCAUGUAGCUUACUCGCUUAUGCUAUUUUACCUACGCUUAGGAUGUUGACGAUCAGCUGAGCGCG
rnacentral:rRNA from 1 species